rnacentral:rRNA from 1 species
UACGUAGGGUGCAAGCGUUGUCCGGAAUUAUUGGGCGUAAAGAGCUCGUAGGCGGUUUGUCGCGUCUGCUGUGAAAACUCGGGGCUUAACUCCGGGCCUGCAGUGGGUACGGGCAGACUAGAGUGCGGUAGGGGAGACUGGAAUUCCUGGUGUAGCGGUGAAAUGCGUAGAUAUCGGGAGGAACAUCAGUGGCGAAGGCGGCCUUCUGGUCCAGUACUGACACUCAAGUGCGAAAGCGUGGGGAGCAAACAGG